GAUGAACGCUAGCGGCAGGCUUAAUACAUGCAAGUCAAGGGGGUAGCAAUACUACCGGCGCACGGGUGAGUAACACGUACAUAACAUACCAUAUACUGGGGUAUAGCUUUGGGAAACUGAAGGUAAUCCCCCAUAACAUUGCGAGAGGGCGAUCUGAUUGCAAUUAAAGUUUCGUACGGUAUAUGAUUGAUGUGCGUUUGUAUUAGCUUGUUGGUAGGGUAACGGCCUACCAAGGCGACGAUCAAUAGCUGGCGUGAGAGCGCGACCAGCCACACUGGAACUGAGACACGGUCCAGACUCCUACGGGAGGCAGCAGUAGGGAAUAUUGGACAAUGGGCGAAAGCCUGAUCCAGCCAUGCCGCGUGAUAGAUGAAGG
rnacentral:rRNA from 1 species